rnacentral:lncRNA from 1 species
CCACAGUUCUGGUGGAAGAGCCACCACCUGGUCUGGUUCCUGGUGUCUCCAUUCGAGGCCUGAAGAAGCAUUUUCGUGGCUCUCCACAGCCAGCCCUGCGAGGGCUCAACCUUGACUUCUAUGAAGGCCACAUCACUGCCUUUUUGGGUCACAACGGGGCUGGCAAGACAACCACACUGUCCAUCUUGAGUGGUCUCUUCCCACCCAGUAGUGGCUCGGCCUCCAUCCUGGGCCAUGACGUGCAAACCAACAUGGC